rnacentral:rRNA from 1 species
GACGAACGCUGGCGGCGUGCUUAACACAUGCAAGUCGAACGGAAAGGCCCUGCUUUUGUGGGGUGCUCGAGUGGCGAACGGGUGAGUAACACGUGAGUAACCUGCCCUUGACUUUGGGAUAACUUCAGGAAACUGGGGCUAAUACCGGAUAGGAGCUCCUGCUGCAUGGUGGGGGUUGGAAAGUUUCGGCGGUUGGGGAUGGACUCGCGGCUUAUCAGCUUGUUGGUGGGGUAGUGGCUUACCAAGGCUUUGACGGGUAGCCGGCCUGAGAGGGUGACCGGCCACAUUGGGACUGAGAUACGGCCCAGACCCAUACGGGAGGAAGCAGGGGGGAAUAUUGAAAAAGGGGCGGAAGCCUGAUGCAGCAACGCCGCGUGGGGGAUGACGGCCUUCGGGUUGUAAACCGCUUUCGCCUGGGACGAAGCGUGAGGGAGGGUAAGGGGUAAAGAAGCACCGGCAAACUACGUG